rnacentral:rRNA from 1 species
AUUGAACGCUGGCGGCAGGCCUAACACAUGCAAGUCGAGCGGAUGAAGGGAGCUUGCUCCUGGAUUCAGCGGCGGACGGGUGAGUAAUGCCUAGGAAUCUGCCUGGUAGUGGGGGAUAACGUCCGGAAACGGGCGCUAAUACCGCAUACGUCCUGAGGGAGAAAGUGGGGGAUCUUCGGACCUCACGCUAUCAGAUGAGCCUAGGUCGGAUUAGCUAGUUGGUGGGGUAAAGGCCUACCAAGGCGACGAUCCGUAACUGGUCUGAGAGGAUGAUCAGUCACACUGGAACUGAGACACGGUCCAGACUCCUACGGGAGGCAGCAGUGGGGAAUAUUGGACAAUGGGCGAAAGCCUGAUCCAGCCAUGCCGCGUGUGUGAAGAAGGUCUGCGGAUUGUAAAGCACUUUAAGUUGGGAGGAAGGGCAGUAAGUUAAGACCUUGCUGUUUUGACGUGACCAACAGAGUAAGCACCGGCUAACUUCGU